rnacentral:rRNA from 1 species
AAACUUUACAAUGCGGGAAACCGUGAUAAGGGAACUCCGAGUGCCCGUUAAAUCGGGCUGUCCACCAGUUUAAAAAACUGGUGAAGAAAGGGCCGGGCAAGACCGGUGCCAGCCGCCGCGAUAAUACCGGCGGCUCGAGUGGUGGCCACUAUUACUGGGCUUAAAGCGUUCGUAGCUGGUUUGUUAAGUCUCUGGGGAAAUCUUCCGGCUUAACCGGAAGGCGUCUCAGGGAUACUGGCAGACUAGGGACCAGAAGAGGUGAGGGGUACUCCGGGGGUAGGAGUGAAAUCCUGUAAUCCUUGGGGGACCACCUGUGGCGAAGGCGCCUCACCAGGACGGCUCCGACAGUGAGGGACGAAAGCUAGGGGCACGAACCGG